GAUGAACGCUGGCGGUAUGCUUUACACAUGCAAGUCGUACGAGAGUUUUCAACUCAAGUGGCGGACGGGUGAGUAACACGUAAGAAUUUACCUUUAGGAGGGGGACAACAACUGGAAACGGUUGCUAAUACCCCAUAUGCUUUCGAGUGAAAUGGAUUUUCCGCCUAAAGAGAAGCUUGCGGCUGAUUAGCUUGUUGGUAAGGUAAUGGCUUACCAAGGCGACGAUCAGUAUCUGGUUUGAGAGGACGAUCAGACACACUGGAACUGAGACACGGUCCAGACUCCUACGGGAGGCAGCAGUGGGGAAUUUUCCGCAAUGGGCGAAAGCCUGACGGAGCAAUACCGCGUGAGGGAUGACGGCCUACGGGUUGUAAACCUCUUUUUCUAGGGAGGAAGAAAAUGACGUGUACCUGAAGAAUAAGCAUCGGCUAACUCCGUGCCAGCAGCCGCGGUAAGACGGAGGAUGCAAGUGUUAUCCGGAAUCACUGGGCGUAAAGCGUUUGUAGGUGGUCAAAUAAGUCAACUGUUAAAUCUUGAGGCUCAACCUCAAAAUCGCAGUCGAAACUA
rnacentral:rRNA from 1 species